rnacentral:tRNA from 1 species
GCCAAUAUAGCUCAGUUGGUAGAGCACAUCCAUGGUAAGGAUGAGGUCGUCAGUUCGAUCCUGACUAUUGGCUCCA